UCAAUCAAAUAAAAUUUUGAAUUUUUUUUCAAAAACUAUAUUUUGAGUUAAACCAAACAAGACCGAAAUAUAUUUCCUUAGCGCAGGUCAAUGGUUUAGUUCCAAGGGUUUCUGCUUGUCCCUGUCCUCCAGCUACAAAGUCCCAGGUUUUGGUUGUGAUCUUGAAGAAGACUGAAUUUCAUCCUCUCAAGGGACUGAUGAUGGUUUCCAAAGCUGCUUUUGAAUAUCAUACUCGAAAAACAUGGUAAAUUGGAUCACAAUAUGCGGUAUGUAAAGAUCAAUUUUAUUGGUAAGUAGAUUUUUUUUUUUAUUAUAGUUUUCAAAUUUCAAUGUAGAGUAGGAUAACAUUCUGCAGUAAAAUUUGAUUACAAUGGUAAAUAACAUUCAAUUUCAGUAAUCAGUAGCACUGCAAAAAUCACCUCUUGUUUUGAGAAAAGCAUCAGUUUUUUUAUCUAAUUUUACACAUUAUCAAUCAAUGGCUGAAUUUUCAUUUAUCUGAAUCUAAUGGAAGGUCGAUUUGGUUAUAGUACCUAAAAUCCACCGCUUACGUUGCUUGGAAAAAUCGUCUCUAUCACACACAAAAGCAAGGAACAAAUGCCCUGCUUGAGUCAUAAAAAUGAUUAAAACAUUCAUUUCAGCAGAAUUGAGACUCCCCAAUAAGCUACAAUAUCUUGAUUUCAUGCCAUCUCAUUGAAAAAAAAAUAAAAUAAAAAAAAAUAAAAAUAAUCUUUUUGUCGGAACCACAU